AGCACGUAGGUGGGUUUGUAAGUCAGAUGUGGAAGCCUCCUGUUCAACGGGAGAAUUGCAUCUGAAACUACUGAUCUUGAGUGUAGGAGGGGAGAAUGGAACUUCUGGUGGAGCGGUGAAAUGCGUAGAUAUCAGAAGGAACGCCGGCGGCGAAAGCGACUCUCUGGCCUAUUACUGACACUCAGUGUGCGAAAGCUAGGGGAGCAAACGGGAUUAGAUACCCCGGUAGUCCUAGCUGUAAACGAUGGGCACUAAGUAGAGGGG
rnacentral:rRNA from 1 species